rnacentral:rRNA from 1 species
GAUCAUGGCUCAGGACGAACGCUGGCGGCGUGCCUAAUACAUGCAAGUAGAACGCUGAAGGAGGAGCUUGCUCUUCUGGAUGAGUUGCGAACGGGUGAGUAACGCGUAGGUAACCUGCCUGGUAGCGGGGGAUAACUAUUGGAAACGAUAGCUAAUACCGCAUAAUAUUGAUUAUUGCAUGAUAGUCAAUUAAAAGGUGCAAUUGCACCACUACCAGAUGGACCUGCGUUG